UGCAACACAGACACUCCUCCCUCAACAGGUAUAAAUUACAGAUAAAAAAUAUUCUGCUGCAUUAUUCAACAUAUUGUAGGGAACCAUCGAAGGAAACAUAUUUUGCAUUUCUUAAUGCUAGGCUGUCAAUUGAAUUGAAACUGCUUUGUGGAUUUAAAUGAAGGUUUACUGUAGGCUGUACACUCGGCAGCUUUAUUUUGUAAGGGAAGAUAAUUGCAAAUAUAAUUGAAAAAACUGCAUUCAGUCUGUAAUAACAUAUUAGUAUCUGUACGGUUGGCUCUGUGGUGGAACUUAUACUGUCUCUUGAUCUUUUCAAUCAGGUGGAGUUUUGCAUAUUUUCUGCUCUCAUACUGUACUUGUACUUGUAAGUGAAGGGUUACAUAAUCAUGACGGCCUUCAUAUUUUAGGGUGUUUAAUUGUAAUACUUUUUCAAUGUUGAAGGUUUGUGUUUUAGUCCAUUGACUUUGAUUUAGUUCUUUUUUUGAUAGCUGAAGUGCAACAGGAAAGGGAAGAGAGAAAGGUGGCAGCACACAGCAAAGAGAAACCCAUGGCUGCUGCAGCCUUGGUACAUGGGGUGCCAGGUCUACCAGCUCCACCUAAUUCAUUAACUUUCAAAAGAUAGAUAGAUAGAUAGAUAGAUAGAUAGAUAGAUAGAUAGAUAGAUAGAUAGAUAGAUAGAUAGAUAGAUAGAUAGAUAUUAUUGUUCUCCAUAUUGUGGAUGUUUCAGUCUUAGUGCACCUAUCUAAUGAAAACCAUGAGACACUGAACAUAAACAUAUACACGAUGGGUUGCUUCUUAAAUUCAUUAAGUGUGACAACGUAGAGAAAUAUUGAUUGCAGAAUUAUUGUCCUGCUCGAGACUGGUUCUCUUGCAGUGACUUUCUUCAUUAUGCUCCAUUCUUAGUUUUUCACAACAUGUCAUAGCCCAGCUGAAUGAAAAGUGCCUCCACAUCAUGAGGCUUCAAACCUCAUAUUUGACAAACACAGGCACUGUGGCCAGCAGUUCCAUAGAGCUGUGUGUGAUGUGGAGUAUGUCAUGCAGAGAGAUGGUGUAAAACCUGACCCAGAGAACGCGAUUGUCCUAAAGGGUUAUUUAGAAAUGUGGAGCAUUGUGCUUGCUUUCUUUGGACUCUUGACUGAUGCUUCUCAUCAGAACUCAAAUGCACAUAUAUAGGUCUGCAGAAGUUUUUCCUCUAUCUAGAUGGACAAAGGAUGUCACCAAAGGGACAAUUCCUAAAAAACAGGCUGCUGGUGUGAGUGCGUUUAAAAAAUAAUUCAUGCAUAUAUCCUGAAGUCUGUGUCCCAGACUUGUGUUUUUCACUACAUAAAAUUAAAAGCUUUGAAACAGCUAGGAAAAGUUGUAAGGGUAUCCCAAAGUACUAUUUAUUAAUUUAUUGUAAGCAAUUUCUGUCCUAUGCAUUUGUGUGGAUGGAUUAGUCACACCUUUAACCCAGUAAUAUGCAUACAGUGUUGUCACAAUGGACAUUUGCAGACAAUACCACACACAAAUAAUGUUAUUCCUGCUUGUUGAAGAAAAUAUUUCUCCACUGAUAGUAAGAUUAUUGCUUGACUUUUGGGGAUUUACGAUGUACUUUGAUAUAUUUUUAUUGAUAUAUUGAUUGUAUUUUCUUCAAUCUUGAAAGCAUGGAAAAAUCUUUGUGUCAUCCUGCAGAAUUAUUUAGGCUCAGUUUCCUUUGGAGUCUAACAUUUUUAAAAUUGUAAUACAUUUCUAAUAAAGAUUUUGUGCAUUAUG